ACAUGCAUCUGUAUGAGUAUAUAUAUAACAAUUUCAUCAAAUUUUGGAGAACACUUUGUAUGAAUACUUCUCAAAGAAAAUGUGACUUUUGCAAACUAUGGAAACACUUGAAACUCAAGUCAAAAAUAUAAAAAUAAUUACCAAUGACACCACUAGUUUUGACACCACUGUACUUCCCAAUCCUUAAUACAGACUUUAACACAAGCUUAAAUUCAUCAUAUUUUGAAGCUUGCAAAAAGGUAUGGUAGCCAUCAUAACACUCACCAACUUACAGACUUGCUAGAAAAUUGUAUUC